rnacentral:rRNA from 1 species
ACGAACGCUGGCGGCGUGCCUAACACAUGCCAGUCGAACGGAACUGUUUUGAAAGAUUUCUUCGGAAUGAAUUUGAUUUAGUUUAGUGGCGGACGGGUGAGUAACGCGUGAGUAACCUGCCUUCAAGAGGGGAAUAACAUUCUGAAAAGAAUGCUAAUACCGCAUGACAUAUCGGAACCACAUGGUUUUGAUAUCAAAGAUUUUAUCGCUUGAAGAUGGACUCGCGUCCGAUUAGUUAGUUGGUGAGGUAACGGCUCACCAAGACCGCGAUCGGUAGCCGGACUGAGAGGUUGAACGGCCACAUUGGGACUGAGACACGGCCCAGACUCCUACGGGAGGCAGCAGUGGGGGAUAUUGCGCAAUGGGGGCAACCCUGACGCAGCAACGCCGCGUGAAGGAUGAAGGUUUUCGGAUUGUAAACUUCUUUUAUUAAGGACGAAAAAUGACGGUACUUAAUGAAUAAGCUCCGGCUAACUACGUG